GUGAAUCAUCAGUAAGGGGAAGAUACUCUUCCAAAUGUGCUGUGCAGGACUGUCUUGGAAGCACCAAAAGACUUCUAGUCGUGUUCCUCUAACAAUGACUCUGGUUGCAAAACUUUGAUUACGUGGACGAAGCUACUAAUCAUUCUCCGUCAGAGAAAUUGCGAAGUCAGGUUUUGGCAGAGCAAGAAUUGUUGUGCAGGAUAUCUAUCUGAAAAGGUUGAUGAAAUGUUGACGAAGAAUCUUGGUAGUGAUCAACUCUAUCUCGAACAGUAAAAAAUUUAAAGGUCGGAGCCCUUCGGGAUUUUGCCAAAGAUGCCACUUCCUGUUGCCAGGCAUGACACCGACGGCAUGCUAGUGAAUAAUUAGCUCUCCAAGAACUUACAGAUACCGAAGGCCUGUUGGAAUAUAUACAAAUCCCUAAGAAGAUUGUCGCUGUAAUAUGUGCUCCACCAAUUUAUCCUCGUUAUAAAUCAGAAAGGUAACUUCCAUAAGCCCAAGAUUAUGUCACCUAGUAUUCUCAUCCUACUAUUUUCAGUCUUUUCUAGAUUCACAUUGAGGCCAUGGGUGUUCCUUAUGUGAAAUCUCUUGUGCUCUAAUUAUUGAUAGAUUCAGCUGUGUGCAAGAGGCAUAUUUCCAUUUCCAGUUUUAGAUUUCUCCAUCUAAGCACAAGUUUGAUUUCUUUUAGUUGGCAUGAUUCCCAGAUUUUUACAUUUUUUUUCCAACACAACCGGACCUUUUACAGCCAUCCUUUUAUGUAGUUCACGUUUAUUAUCUUUAACAAAUAAGUAGAUUCCUUUCAAAUCUAUAUACUUAUUGUUGCUUAACUUUUCAGUAUCAAUUGGAUUGUAUCAGAAUAUAUAUUUCCUUAGUUGAUGGCUCUAAAAGGGGUUUGCAUUCAUUAUCUCUUAUAGUUAAUCCCCAUAGAUCAUGAAAAUAAUGUUGAUUAUAAAAUGAAAACCCCAUAUGAUCGUUGUUAGGUGAAACUAUAUGUGGUUUGGAGAUUGCAGUCUGAAUAUAUUUAUGAGUGUGGGGUUAUUAUGUCAAGACUGGGAAACUGUUCCAAUCUCUGUGACUUUUCCAUAGAGAAAAUGACAAAGAACUAAAGAAACGAAGAAAGCUCAUUCUCACUGCAUAAAGCAGCACGGGAGAGACAAAAACUGCACACACUCUGAACAUUAGAAUCUGCAGUUCCCUUCACAGAAGAACGCAAACCAAAGCUAAAUCACUCUCCCCCUUUUGCCAAAUCCAACUCUGUUAUCUUCUUAAUCUCAGUUUGCAGGCUUUGAAUAUAUUACAUGAAAGAAAAGAAAAAAAUAAAAAUAAAAAUUGAACUCUUUUUCAUGUCAAACAAAAUUUUUACAAAUGUGGCUGCUAGAUUACCAUGCCUUGGUUUCUCUCUCUCUCUCUCUCUCUGCUGCUGAUUUUUUUCUUUUCCAGCCUUGGUGUGAAUCCAUAGGAAUGUAUGAAUUUUGGUGUUUUCUGGGCAGAGAUUGACUGAAAUCUUGUAGUAGACAGUUUAAUUUUGUUUUAAGGAUCAUAAUAAUUCCAAUAGAUUGUUGUGUGAGAAAAAUCUUUGCAGGAUUCCUUUCCUGUCCAUUAGCCUUGGAGGAGAAAACAAAAUGAAAUGAUUUAAGCUGCUUUAAUACUCUUUUCGAUCCAUAAUCGAGAGAUCGAACAAUCAACUUCUUGGAUGGUAGUUGAUUCUUUAUCUGGUAAGUUACUGUAUGACUUCGACUUUCCUAAUUUAUAAUUAUAGAUUUGUUAUACAUCAAGUUAAGAUUUAUACUUUCAUUAAGACUUUGUGAUAGGGUUAUAUUUCUAGUUCAUUAAGUGACAUGGGUUAAGAUAGUGAAUAGACUGACCGUUGCCCCGCAACGAUAUGAACUCGACCCGCUCUUACCCAUUCCAAAGUCCACCACCCGAGACCAGGUUGAUCAAAUAGAGAGGUAUAUAAUGUUUAAAACUAAAUCAAUACAUUUAAAGCUUCUACCUACUCCUCAAAUUGCUGUCAUCCCCAUCAAUACAUUUGCCAAAAAAGAAAACCCAAAUCAUUGGGAUUGUUAAAUUUCAAAAGACCAAGAUUGGGAAUGAGAGAGAGAGAGAGAAUCUAAUUGUAUCUUGGUGGAGCAUAGAUGGGAAUGCAGUUCAUUAUUGUAAGAUGUGGACCCCUCAUCCAUCCCACAAGUGAAGAAUUUUGGUUUGGUCCCAAAUUCUUAGUCUCUCUCUAGAUUUCCAUGCAAACAUAUCCUUAUGGGAACAUCACAAUAAUUCUCCUACCAGCAACCCUAAAAU